AUGAGAUCUGACGUCUACAUUGAGACCCUCACCAGUGUCAGUUAUUCACAAUCACUCACUAAGAUGGAGAGGUCAAGCGUUGCUCUCAUUGCGCUUAUUUUUUUGCUGUUCCAUCAGACAAGAAUCUAUGGAGAAGAAGUGGAGAUGAAAGUCAGACCAGGAGACAACAUCACUCUCUACUGUGAUCGCUCUAUAACUUCUGGUUCCUGCAUUGUAUGGAUAAGAAACUGCUCUCAUGAAAAUCAACCCUCUCUCAUAAUAGAUUUUACCAAAUGGAAACUGAAGAUAUUUCAGCGUUUCAGCUCUAUCUACAACCGCUACAGUAACUCUUAUGAUCUACAUAUUACUAACAUCAGUGUCUCUGAUCUGGGACUGUACUACUGUGCAGAACUAGAGAAAAAGGUAAAUAAAGAUGAAAAAGGCAUCAUCUCCUCAUCAGAGGUGUACUAUUAUGGAAACCAAACAACUCGUCUCUCUCUGGAAGUGUCUUCCUGUUCUGGACCCUUGAACAUCACCUCCACACCACCUCUUGUAUCUGACUGUGCGCUCUGCUGGACGCUGCUGUUCAGUGUGUGUCCGGUGUGCGUUCUUCUCUUCUCCAUCUGUUUGUUCUGCCUCUGUUGUAAGAAAACUACAGAUCCUGUGAGAGAUCAAAAAGGUAGAAAUACUGCUGAGUGCAUGGAUGAAGAGGUGUGUUAUGCAUCUUUAGACGUGAUCACCAAGAGACAAAAACAACGCAAGACAAAGCGAGUGCAGAGUUCUGACUUCAGUACUUAUGCUCAGGUCAGAACGUAAACUGAAUAGACCUAAAAUAGAACUGAAGUUGAUUCUAAAACUUUUCAAAUAUGAAAAAAAAAAAAAAAAUUACAGGUUUCAUUAUCACGUAACUUUACAUGUAAUCAUACAAGGUAGAGGAGUUUCUACCAUUACAUAUUAGAGUAAAUUAUAUGUAAUUGGAUACUUUUGAUUUUGUAUGAGCUAAAAAAAAUCAAACCUGUAAAGUUGUUAGUCUGAUACUCAUUGCAGUACAAGUUUUUCCCUCUCUCUAAUAAAAACACUUUAGUACUUUGUGGACUUAACACUAGUAGUCUUUGUGUACACACAGUGAUGACCUGAAUAACAGGAUGUAGAAGUGGGUUUCCUGUGUUAAGUGAUGUUUAUUUUAAUGCGUGUAUAUUCUCUGAAACUGAAUGACUGCAACAUUUAUCUGAAUUUUAAAAUUUCCCCAAAACACACUCCAUGCUGAGUAGGUUACUGUGUUUGUUUAACAGCUUGUGACAAGUGAGCAGGCAUUUUUAAAAUGAUCUUAAUACUAUAAAGAAAAAAGACAGAUGCCCACUUUAGUUACUCCUCUGUAGUAAUAUACUUUUUUCUUUUUCUUUUUGUUAUUUUCCUUAAAACUGGUGCAUGUUAGAUCUGCCUGUUUACUAAUUGUACAUUUGAUUUUGUUGAACAGUUAAAACCAAAUUGAAAUCAAAUCACACUUCCAUUCAGUUUAGUGGCUGUGUGCUUUUGAGAAAGAAAUAGGUAGGACAGAGGUUGAUCUGUGCAGAUGCUUUGAGAUUGUUGUAAAUUUGGUUUGUAUGCAUGCAAUGUUUGCAAAAGCCUGACUUACAGGAGCAGACUUUCUUUAAAUUCUGGUGGAUGAGGAAGUAUCACAUUUAAUGCUUCUCAGAAUAAAGCACAAAGAGCAGGUUUCAGUCUUUGCAAAACAACACUUUGGACAUUUCCGUGUUACUUUGGUAGUGCACACCUCUUGAUAAAAAUGACAAAAACAUACAACAAAAUGACUCAAGUAAAAUAAACAGAAAAACAGAAAAAAAUCUAUUCAAAAAUAUAAACAAAAACUAUAUUAGAAUAUCAAUUAUAUUGAAAUAACACUGCAU
ensembl:lncRNA